rnacentral:rRNA from 1 species
AUUGAACGCUAGCGGCAGGCCUAACACAUGCAAGUCGAGCGAGCGGCGGACGGGUGAGUAAUGUAUGGGGACUGCCCGAUAGAGGGGGAUAACUACUGGAAACGGUAGCUAAUACCGCAUACUAUCGGAUAACCCAUAUGGGAUUAGAUAGUAGGUGAGGUAAUGGCUCACCUUGGCGACGAUCCCGAGCUGGUCUGAGAGGAUGAUCAGCAACACUGGGACGGAGCAACUGACCAGACUCGUACGGAGGCAGCAGUGGGGAAUAGUGCACAAGGGGCGCAAGCCUGAUGCAGCCAUGCCGCGUGUAUGAAGAAGGCCUUAGGGUGGUAAAGUACUUUCAAUCGGGAGGCGUUACCGACAGAAGAAGCACCGGCUAACUCCGUGCCAGCAGCCGCGGUAAUUC